rnacentral:rRNA from 1 species
UGGGGAAUAUUGCGCAAUGGGGGAAACCCUGACGCAGCGACGCCGCGUGCGGGAUGAAGGCCUUCGGGUUGUAAACCGCUUUUGAUUGGGAGCAAGCCUUUUGGGUGAGUGUACCUUUCGAAUAAGCGCCGGCUAACUACGUGCCAGCAGCCGCGGUAAUACGUAGGGGGCUAGCGUUAUCCGGAUUUACUGGGCGUAAAGGGUGCGUAGGUGGUCUUUCAAGUCGGUGGUUAAAGGCUACGGCUCAACCGUAGUUAGCCUCCGAAACUGGAAGACUUGAGUGCAGGAGAGGAAAGUGGAAUUCCCAGGGUAGCGGUGAAAUGCGUAGAUAUUGGGAGGAACACCAGUAGCGAAGGCGGCUUUCUGGACUGCAACUGACACUGAGGCACGAAAGCGUGGGUAGCAAACAGG